GACGAACGCUGGCGGCGUGCUUAACACAUGCAAGUCGAACGGAAAGGCCCUGCUUUUGUGGGGUGCUCGAGUGGCGAACGGGUGAGUAACACGUGAGUAACCUGCCCUUGACUUUGGGAUAACUUCAGGAAACUGGGGCUAAUACCGGAUAGGAGCUCCUGCUGCAUGGUGGGGGUUGGAAAGUUUCGGCGGUUGGGGAUGGACUCGCGGCUUAUCAGCUUGUUGUUGGGGUAGUGGCUUACCAAGGCUUUGACGGGUAGCCGGCCUGAGAAGGUGACCGGCCACAUUGGGACUGAGAUACGGCCCAGACUCCUACGGGAGGCAGCAGUGGGGAAUAUUGCACAAUGGGCGGAAGCCUGAUGCAGCAACGCCGCGUGCGGGAUGACGGCCUUCGGGUUGUAACCCGCUUUCGCCUGUGACGAAGCGUGAGUGACGGUAAUGGGUAAAGAAGCACCGGCUAACUACGUG
rnacentral:rRNA from 1 species